UACAGUCCGUGGCUGUUGAGUUGAAAACAUCGUCUUUCUUAAUUAUUUUGUUUUGUUCGGGAGGGAAGUUUAGCGAGCUGUUACUGGUUUUGGCGAGAACAUUGAUUUUGUUUUUUACACGUUGGAAUUUAAAAUUUGUUUUGAUCGUACAUAUAGUUAAGAAGUUCUGGCUCAUACAUCAAAUCAUUAAAAUAUGGUCCUUCGCCUUUGGAGCAUCCCCAAAAUACCACAACUUAAAUAACAACCCUGGAAUUUUACCUUACAAAAUAGGAAACGCACAAAAGAAUGUUUCUAUAUCUCCAAAAUUAUGUUAAAAAACGUGGUUUUGGCAGACAGUUCCAAUAAUAGUAUCUCGGAAUCAUACGAAGACGACAGGGAUAAGGAUUAUGAAUAUCAAUCUGAUGCGACUGAAAGUUCAGAUUCCCAUAUUUCUGACGAAUUAGAAAAUUUAAUAGGAAGCACAAGUAAAAAUAGUUCUAAUAGUACGGGAUGCGUUGAAAAGAAAUUACAGGAUACUUCUAAAAUGAUAUGUAGUGAGCUAAGUAACUCGGUGGUUACGGAAAUUACAAAUUCAAUUGGAAAGAUUAAGAAAGAUGUUUUAUGUAUUUUCUGUAAAAAUGUAAUUUUUACGAAAAACUUUGCUAGACACCUGGAAACAAAACACAAAAAUGAAAAUGAGGUCAAAGAUAUUUUGCAGUAUCCAAGAAAGAGUAAAGACAGAAGAGAGGCAUUUAAUUUGUUUAGGAACAAAAUUAAUUUUGAUUUAUAUAUAGAGGGCAAAGUAUGCCCAAAUCGGAAAACGAUGGAUAAAAAUGCUUUAACUUUUUAUCCAUGUGUUUACUGUAAAGGAGUCUUUAAAAAAGAUAAUCUUAAACGACACACGAAAAAGUGCCUUAUUAAAAAUAAUAAAUUAAAACCAAAAAAGGGUAAAAACUACUAUAUUAGCGACUCGCAAUCCGAAAUUGCCUGUGCAAUGCGACAAAUGUAUUUUCAAAGCUAAAUAUAAAGGAAUUGGUAUUUUCUAUUAUGAAGGGAGAUGACAUAUCUUUUGUUGCAAAAAAAGAUCUUCUCAUUUGUCAUUUUGGAUUAUAUCUAAAAAAAAACAUAAGAGAGAGCGCAAAGAGUAUUCCUGUAGUGCAAGAAUGCGUGAGCUUUCGCGCUUAUUAAUUUGGUCGGCAAUCCUACAUGCAGUUUUAAGUAUAUAUUAAAUUUAAGGAUAUUGGAAAAAUUGGUAAUAUCAAGUUGGAACACAGAAAUAUCAAGUCUGGCAAAUAAGGAUAUGCAAGAAAAACGUUGGAAUAAACCACUCCUUAUACCACUAGUAAGCGAUUUAAAAUUUUUAGAGAGGAAACAACAAAAUUUGCUGAAGAUUGCUACACAAAGUUUUUAACUCAUGAUGAUGAUAAUGAAAGCUAUAAAUUGCUGGUUCAAUGUUCUUUGACACUACUUUUUCUGUUUAAUCGUAGACGUAUAGGUGAUGUACAAUAUUUAAAGAUAGAGAACUAUAUGAGACAAAAUAUAUCUAAUUUUAAAGAUUUUGAAUCAGUUUUAACAGAAUCGGAAAAAAUCUUAACAACAAAAUACAGACGUAUCGUAAAUAGUGGAAAAGGUUCUAGACAAGUAGUUAUUUUAUUACCAGAAAUGUAGAGAAAUAUAUAAAUAAAUUAUUAGAAUGUCGAAAUAAGUAUAUAUCACAAAACAAUGUAUACAUGUUUGCCAUGCCACAUAGCAAAAUUAAGUGGGGACAAGGCGACGAUGCGAUAUUUGACUACUACAAUGAAGCCUCAAUAUCCUGAAGCUAUAUCGAGCAAUAAAUUUAAAAAAAAUAUUGCCACACACAAAUAUUUGUGCAACGAAAUAUUAAAUCUUUCCAAAGAAGACAUCGCACAAUUUUCGAAAUUUAUGGGUCAAACUGAAAAAACGCAUGCGGAAUUUUACGAGUAAGUCAAAAAAUGUAACCUUAACAUCUUAAGGUUGUUUUUUAUUGCUCUCUUAUUUACGUUUUCCAAUUUUCCGUAUACCCAAUAUUUCGUAUCAUGUUUCAUAUUUUAAUACUACCAGUGGAUAUUUACCAAACCGCGAAGGUUUCCAAACUACUUCUUAUGAUGGAAAAGGGGACAUUACCGAAUGAAUUUAGGGGAAAGUCUUUAUCGGAAAUAGAAUUCAAUCCUAAUUUGGAAUUUCCGGAAGAAAGUAACAAAGUUUUAGGACAUUUUGUGCCCCAAAAAAAUAAUCCUUCGACAUCUUGCAGUACUAGCAGAACAAAUAAAGAUAAUAAUGUUGAAACUACACGAGCAUUAAAUGAAAAAAGGUCAGCUGUACCAAAAAAUACUAAAAAUAAAAUUUAAAAAGAGAAAUUUAAUUAUACAGAAGAACCUUUAAAAAAGAAGCAAAUAAUAAAAAGAGGUUGGACACCGAAAGAAAUGAGUUUAAUAUCAGAAAAUUUUCAAAAGCACAUUCAAAACAAAACAUUAAAAAAUCUCAAAAAUCUCUCUUGGAACUUAUAAAAAGCGUUGAUUUUAAAAGAACACCAGCCCAAAUCAAGGCAAAAAUGCAGCACCUAAUGAAAAAAAACUUUGAGAAAAGCUAAAUCUUUUUAAGAUGUUUUUAUAUAAUGUUUAAUAAAAUUAAUAAAAGAUUUAUGUAACUUGUCUUAUAUGUAU